rnacentral:rRNA from 1 species
UACGUAGGGGGCAAGCGUUGUCCGGAUUUAUUGGGCGUAAAGAGCGUGUAGGCGGCUUGGCAGGUCCGUUGUGAAAACUCGAGGCUCAACCUCGAGACGCCGAUGGAAACCACCUAGCUAGAGUCCGGAAGAGGAGAGUGGAAUUCCUGGUGUAGCGGUGAAAUGCGCAGAUAUCAGGAAGAACACCCGUGGCUAAGGCGGCUCUCUAGUACGGUACUGACGCUGAGACGCGAAAGCGUGGGGAGCGAACAGG